rnacentral:lncRNA from 1 species
AUGUACAAAGUAACAUGGCCAACUUUUUGGCUUAGAUUUCAACACUACACUUGCACAAUGUCUUUGAAACCAAGAGUAGUUGAUUUUGAUGAAACAUGGAACAAACUUUUGACGACAAUAAAAGCUGUGGUCAUGUUGGAAUACGUCGAAAGAGCAACAUGGAAUGACCGCUUCUCGUAUCCUUUUAAUGGCAGCUCGAUCAGUGUUCUCAAAUUGAUAAACUUGUUGAAAAGUGAGAAGAUGUUCAAUGUUAUGAAAGAACUUUCCUAUGUAACUAUUUUCUAAUGUAUUAUUAUCUACAUUUCCAAGUUCAUCACCUCUUUUAUGGCAAUCAGUAUUUGAUAACCUUUCAUUCAACAAAUAUUUAUUGAGUACUUAGUAUCUGUCAAGGACUACUUUAGGCUUUGGGAAUACAGUUGGUGAACAAAAAAAAUACCUUUCUAUUAUAAAAAUAGAAACAGACACUAAGCAGGUUAAAAAAAAUCUAAUGUCAUUGCUUUUAAGAAGAGGUCGUGAUAAAUGAAAGCAGGAUAAGGACGUGGGGGAGGCUUGGAGUACCUGUAUGUGUGCUGCUCUUUUAGAAUGGGUGGCCAAGGAAUGCCUCCGUGAGGAUGGUGACAUUAGAGCAGAGACUGGCAUGCAGCGAGGGAGCAAGCCAUGUGAUUUUGGGGGGAAGAGUGCGCUUGGUGGAGAGUGAACAGCAAGUUCAGUGACUGGGGUGGAAGCGUUUUUUUUUUUUUUUUUUUUUUUUUUUGAGACGGAGUCUCGCUCUGUCGCCCAGGCUGGAGUGCAGUGGCGCAGUCUUGGCUUACUGCAAGCUCUACCUCCCAGGUUCACACCAUUCUCCUGCCUCAGCCUCCUGAGUAGCUGGGACUACAGGUGCCCAUUACCAUGCCCGGCUAAUUUUUUUUCGUAUUUUUAGUAGAGACGGGGUUUCACCAUGUUAGCCAGGAUGGUCUCGAUCUCCUGACCUCAUGAUCUGCCCGCCUCGGCCUCCUAACUUCCUGGGAUUACAGGCAUGAGCCACCGCGCCCAGC